rnacentral:rRNA from 1 species
AGCAGCCGCGGUAAUUCCAGCUCCAAUAGCGUAUAUUAAAGUUGUUGCAGUUAAAAAGCUCGUAGUUGAAUUUUGGGGUCAGUAGGUUGGUCGUGCCACUGGUAUGUACUGGCCUCACUGAUUCCUCCUUCCUGAUGAACCGUAAUGCCAUUAAUUUGGUGUUGCGAGGAAUCUGGACUGUUACUUUAGAAAAAAUUAGAGUGUUUAAAGCAGGCUAACGCUUGAAUACAUUAGCAUGGAAUAAUGAAAUAGGACGGUUUGAUCCUAUUUUGUUGGUUUCUAGGAUUGACGUAAUGAUUAAUAGGGAUAGUUGGGGGCAUUAGUAUUCAAUUGUCAGAGGUGAAAUUCUUGGAUUUAUUGAAGACUAACUACUGCGAAAGCAUUUGCCAAGGAUGUUUUCAUUAAUCAAGAACGAAAGUUAGGGGAUCGAAGACGAUCAGAUACCGUCGUAGUCUUAACCAUAAACUAUGCCGACUAGGGAUCGGAUGAUGUUAAUUUUUUAAUUAGUACUCAUUCGGUC